AAGGUGUUGUGCUUCAUUUUUCUUUGAAAAGCCUGAGGUGAGGGUCGCAGAGGUGAAUCUUGAUGCAGAAUUUUCAGCAAAUAUUGAAGGAAUUGAUUAAAAUAAUAAGACACAGUUGGACUAACUCUGAAGUCAGCUGAAGCCUCAGUAUGAUGAGCCGUCCACAGAAAUACAUAGAAGGUGAAGCUCUUCACUCUCAACAUGCAAAAUCAAACAAUGCAUUAAAGCUCAGAGUGGCCGUGCUGGUUGUCUGUGUUCUCCUGGUAUCGGCUCUCGUGGUAACUUAUCUCUAUUUGCUGCUGUGCCUGGGAUCAUUGUUCUC
ensembl:lncRNA